CUCGCAGCCGAAACACAAGCGGCUCCGCUCCGAACGACACACCGACGCCACAAAUUGCGCCUCUUCCUCCGUUGACCAACACAAACCCAAACUCCACCGCGAGCUUCAUUCACCGCCAAACGCCGCCGGCGACGAUCCCGGCCCGGACACAUUCGCAGCUUCAAAUCAGUUCGCAUCCUCACCCCUGGCUCUACCACCCGCUGCUGCUCCAUUCCCUACGGAGCGUCCUCCGAUUUUACACUUUGCAUAACUUUUCUAUCGAUUUUAGGUACUGGCAAGUCUCAACGACUGUCGACACAGUUCCACUCGCGGGGGCGCCGCCACUGCUUCGUUGCGGCGGCUAUCGUUCAUGGCGCACUGGAUCCCCACCCGCAUAGAGGGCACAACGGAAAAAAUCCCGUCCUCGCAUCGAUAUUGCUCUUCCUCGUUACCAUCGCCUCUGCUAGCCCCUAGCGGCGGCGCGGCGUGCUAGUCCGGUGACCCCCGCCACUCCUCCCCACCCUCCAGCAUGGCUUCCACGGCUUCACCAGGCUCGCCGCCGAGGCGAUUCUGUCCCAGCCCUCGGGAGUGUUCGCUCCUUGCAGCUAUUUCGAUUCCCUGGCGACAACUGAUGGUUCUCCAUCGCGGUGCACGUGUACAUGCACGGGAGCUCAACAAAUAAAAUUCACUUGGUGUAAUCGAUCUUGUCUUUUAUCCUAUUUCAUUGCGUAGAAGGAAGUGCAGAUAGAUUAGCAAGUGAAUCCCCUCCCCCGAUUCCAUUGAUUUCCUCUUAUUUGUCAUCCCGUACAUGGAUCUCAUAAUUUCCUCUCUGUUUCCUACUUCCGGUAGUUAUUGUUUUACUGUAGAAAUAAAAUUAGAGAUGAGUAAGUGAAUGGCUUCCCAAAUCAACUUGAUGAAGUUGUUGUAAACCAAGCUUUUUGUGAUGAUAUUCUUGGCACACCUUUUUUUUGAAAAAAAUAAAUACAGACUUAUCGUAAACCACAUGUGGAUGGACAUAUUCUAGUAAAUCAGUUACAAAGUUCCUGUAUGCCACAGUUGAUGGAUUUUUAAUAUUAGUAGGCAUGGAUUCUAGUAACUCAUAUGUAAAGGACCGAUUAUGGUAACUCAUUCCCAGAAGGCAUGGAUUCUUGUAAUUCAUAUGUCACAUGCAUGAUCAAGAACAUACAACAGAAGUGGUUUUUCUCUACUAAGCGUGUGAAGACACAUUGACAUAGAUGCUGCCAGCUACGUGUCUAAGCUCUGUUUUUAUCUGUUUCUGUUGCAAAGCCUUAAAUUAGUUCCAUAUUUUCAGAUUUAUAUUGGACAAAAGAGCUGAUAUAGUUAACAGAGUCAAAGAUUUAACUAUUAGUCCCAGUUACCUAGCGAUAGGUUUGCUUGGAGUAUAUAGAGUUAUUCUUAAAUAUUUCGAAGUAUAAUGAAAGCUCUCUGGAGUGCUCAUAUUAUCUACUCCUGAUCCUUUCAUGACGAUGUUUUAGGAGAUGAAACCUCGGUGUCAAAUGCAGUGGGAUUCGGCCUUUCUCCACUAUGAUUCCAUCUAUUUCUAGGUAAUGAGACCUGGGAAAAAUACCAACCAUCAGUGCACCUACAUUUGAGAGCAGCAGACAAGCAUGGUGAUUCUGUUAGUGCUCUGUGUUGGAGUGGCGCCAGCGCCAGAUAGAAUGUGCAAGCAAGCAAUCUAGAUUUGGGAGGGAUUAUUAUAGUAAUUUUGAAUACAAAUAUUUCAUUGUGGUAACUCGGUUGUGGUAUUUAUUCUGACAUUGUAGUAAACUAAAUACUCCAUUGUGGUAAAUGCAAGCACAUGAUCAUGGAUUACAAGAAACUGAGCGUCAUGUAGUAAAUUAGUUACGCCAUUGGAUUACAAGGAAGCAAAGCCUGGUUUUUGUA